AUUGAACGCUGGCGGCAGGCCUAACACAUGCAAGUCGAACGAGUGGCGGACGGGUGAGUAAUGUCUGGGAAACUGCCUGAUGGAGGGGGAUAACUACUGGAAACGGUAGCUAAUACCGCAUACCAUCGGAUGUGCCCAGAUUGGAUUAGCUAGUUGGUGGGGUAAAGGCUCACCUAGGCGACGAUCCCUAGCUGUUCUGAGAGGAUGACCAGCCAAACUGGAACUGAGACACGGUCCAGACGCCUACGGGAGGCAGCAGGGGGGAAUAUUGGACAAUGGGCGCAAGCCGGAGGCAGCCAUGCCGCGUGUAUGAAGAAGGCCUUCGGGUUGUAAAGUACUUUCAGCGGGGAGGCGUUACCAGCAGAAGAAGCACCGGCUAACUCCGUGCCAGCAGCCGCGGUAAUUC
rnacentral:rRNA from 1 species